rnacentral:rRNA from 1 species
UACGUAGGGGGCAAGCGUUGUCCGGAAUCAUUGGGCGUAAAGAGCGCGUAGGCGGCCCAGUAAGUCCGCUCUGAAAGUCAGGGGCUCAACCCCUGAAUGCGGGUGGAUACUGCUGGGCUAGAGUCCGGAAGAGGCGAGUGGAAUUCCUGGUGUAGCGGUGAAAUGCGCAGAUAUCAGGAGGAACACCAAUAGCGAAGGCAGCUCGCUGGGACGGUACUGACGCUGAGGCGCGAAAGCGUGGGGAGCGAACAGG